UCUGGAAGCCCAAAAAAAGCCCUAAAUAUUGGCAUAUGUUUCAAAUUUUGUGCUCGAUAUGGUGGGGCCAGCUUCACGGCGGUAUCAUAGUAAACUAUAGAGUGGCUGUUGGUGUGCUUACAGCGCUCUCAAUGUGUUACACGGCCAAGUAAGGGCAGCCAUGACAGAGAGAGGCAAGAUUUCAAGAAGAGCCAGUCUGCCACUGCAGGAAUAGAUGUGUUUUUUUUUAUUCAAAUUGAUUUCUAUCAAUAUAAAAUUAUCAUUACAAUUGGUACUUUUACGAAAAUUGAAUGAGGUAUGUGUGAGAAUAUUUAUCUCAUUGAAAUAACCUCUAGAAUGUUCAGAAUCGACUAAGGAUACAAAAUAUAAAUGUAGGUCUAUAGGAGUAGGCUAGACUAGAUCAUGCCGACUAUUUCAUAACUUUGUUUGUGAUAUUACUUACAAAUUGAAUUGCAUAUGAAACUACAGUCGAGUUGGAUAGAUUUAUACUUAUUAAACAUUUCAACUGUACACUGUUAAUAUAUUAUUUAUUUGUAUUGUGUAGAGAAUGUCAAUGAAGUCAUACAAAAAGUUCCCACAGUCACAAUUUUUUUGGUAUGUGUUUGUAUAUAUUGCCAUUAUUUUAUUAAAUAAUGUUCACUGAUUCUAUUAAUAAUGUGAAUUUAUAUUUGUAUUACAGAUACUAUCAAUGAAGUUGACUGAAGAUUAGAUGAUUGAUUGACACAAUGCCAACAUCGUGCUCGGCUGUGAAUUGCAAGAGUCGGCGGUCCAAAGACCACAACUGAUCCUUCUUCAAAUUUCCGUUAUCUAAUCCUGAAUUAUGCAAAAAAUGGAUUG